rnacentral:rRNA from 1 species
AAAUUGAACGCUGGCGGCAUGCUUUACACAUGCAAGUCGAACGGUAACAGGUCUUCGGAUGCUGACGAGUGGCGAACGGGUGAGUAACACAUCGGAACGUGCCUAGUAGUGGGGGAUAACUACUCGAAAGAGUAGCUAAUACCGCAUACGCCCUGAGGGGGAAAGUAGGGGAUCUUCGGACCUUACGUUAUAAGAGCGGCCGAUAUCUGAUUAGCUAGUUGGUGGGGUAAUGGCCUACCAAGGCUUCGAUCAGUAGCUGGUCUGAGAGGACGACCAGCCACACUGGAACUGAGACACGGUCCAGACUCCUACGGGAGGCAGCAGUGGGGAAUUUUGGACAAUGGGCGAAAGCCUGAUCCAGCAAUGCCGCGUGUGUGAAGAAGGCCUUCGGGUUGUAAAGCACUUUUGUCCGGAAAGAAAACUUCGCCUCUAAUACAGGUGGAGGAUGACGGUACCGGAAGAAUAAGCACCGGCUAACUACGUGCCAGCAGCCGCGGUAAUACGUAGGGUGCAAGCGUUAAUCGGAAUUACUGGGCGUAAAGCGUGCGCAGGCGGUUUUGUAAGUCUGACGUGAAAUCCCCGGGCUCAACCUGGGAAUUGCGUUGGAGACUGCAAGGCUAGAAUCUGGCAGAGGGGGGUAGAAUUCCACGUGUAGCAGUGAAAUGCGUAGAGAUGUGGAGGAACACCGAUGGCGAAGGCAGUCCCCUGGAUCAAGACUGACGCUCAUGCACGAAAGCGUGGGGAGCAAACAGGAUUAGAUACCCUGGUAGUCCACGCCCUAAACGAUGUCUACUAGUUGUCGGGUCUUAAUUAACUUGGUAACGCAGCUAACGCGUGAAGUU